rnacentral:rRNA from 1 species
AUGACUAUUGCUUUCCAAUUAGCUGUUUUUGCAUUAAUUGCAACUUCCUCAGUCUUAGUAAUUAGUGUACCCCUUGUAUUUGCUUCUCCUGAUGGUUAUAUAUACGAGUUUAUGUCCUCUACAACAUUCACUUAUUGCUAA